rnacentral:lncRNA from 1 species
UAAGAAGAACAAAUUAUUUUUUUCAGUGUCUUUUUGGAUGUUUGCAUAAUUAGUUAUUGGAAAAUAGCUUGUAUAUUGUGGAUUUUUAUUUUUUAAUUUCUUUUUCUUCUUUGCAAUCAUUGCAACAAAACUUUGCUUUUUAGUCUAUUUGUAUGGUCCCAACAUAUAUAGGAUCAUCUAUCUUCUUCUAACUACAUUAAAGGAGGGUUUGGGGGGACCACAGGGUGACACGUGUCCCCCCAAACCCCUCUUCUCUCUCCCUCUAUAUAUAUAUAUAUAUAUAUAUAAAGUUUUAAAUUUUUUAUAUCAAAAUAUAAAAUUUUGAUACUUCCAAAUUUUAAAGUUUUAAAUUUCUAAUUUUAUAUUUUUUAUUUAAAUUUUAAAUUUCAAUUUUUACUUAUAAUAUUUAUUUCUAAAUUUUAAGCUUUUUAAACUUCAAAAUUUUAAAGUUUUAAUUUUCUAAUUUUAUAUUUUAUAUUUAAAUUUUAAAUUUUAUUUUUUACUUAUAUUAUUUAUUUCUAAAUUUUAAGCUUCAAAGUUUAAAAUUUUAAAUCUCUAAACUCUAUGAAAUUAAUUAAUUAAUUAAAUUUAUUAAUAAUUAGUUUUAUACAAUAUAAUUAAUUAAUUUUAUUAAAAAUACACAUAAUAAAUCGCAUAAUAAAAUCUAAUUUGAUAGAUGAAAUUUAAAUCACAUAAAAUUUCAUUGUAUAAAAAAAAUACGGAAUUUAAGUUUCAGGAGUAAAAUUUUAAAAAUAUAGUGUAUGUGUGUAUAUAUAAUUAAUUUUAUUAAACAAUAUCUUCUACAAUUUUAUUUUCCUUCUAUUUAUUGAUUUUUUUAAAAUUAUUUUAAUAGAUUUAUCUCAAAUCCUUUUCAUAUAAUUUUUUAUAAAAUAAACUAUUGUAUAAAUUUACUUUGCGCAUAUACCAAUUUUAAUGACUUUUAUUUAAAUAGAUUUAACUAUUAAAUUAUUUUUAUAUAACUUUUAUUUAAUUAAUAAUUAGAUUUAUAAAACUAUAUAAAAAUAUUAAAAAAAACUAAAAUUUAUUAUAAAAAUAUUUUUAUAUCCGCAGCAUCGCGCGGGUAUUUUACUAGUCAUACAUUAAUUUGUAGAAUAACUGGUGAUUAAUUUUUUCUGAGAAAAUAAUUUAAACGGUUGUUCUGUGU